rnacentral:rRNA from 1 species
GUGAGUAGUUCAGAGUUUGAUCCUGGCUCAGGAUGAACGCUGGCGGCGUGCUUAACACAUGCAAGUCGAACGAAGCACCUUCGACGGAUUCUUUCGGGAUGAAGAUGAUUGUGACUGAGUGGCGGACGGGUGAGUAACGCGUGGGUAACCUGCCUCAUACAGGGGGAUAACAGUUAGAAAUGACUGCUAAUACCGCAUAUGCGCACAGUACCGCAUGGUACAGUGUGAAAAACUCCGGUGGUAUGAGAUGGACCCGCGUCUGAUUAGGUAGUUGGUGGGGUAACGGCCUACCAAGCCGACGAUCAGUAGCCGACCUGAGAGGGUGACCGGCCACAUUGGGACUGAGACACGGCCCAA